GAUGAACGCUGGCGGCGUGCCUAAUACAUGCAAGUCGAGCGAACAGACGAGGAGCUUGCUCCUCUGACGUUAGCGGCGGACGGGUGAGUAACACGUGGAUAACCUACCUAUAAGACUGGGAUAACUUCGGGAAACCGGAGCUAAUACCGGAUAAUAUAUUGAACCGCAUGGUUCAAUAGUGAAAGACGGUUUUGCUGUCACUUAUAGAUGGAUCCGCGCCGCAUUAGCUAGUUGGUAAGGUAACGGCUUACCAAGGCGGCGAUGCGUAGCCGACCUGAGAGGGUGAUCGGCCACACUGGAAGUGAGACACGGUCCAGACUCCUACGGGAGGCAGCAGUAGGGAAUCUUCCGCAAUGGGCGAAAGCCUGACGGAGCAACGCCGCGUGAGUGAUGAAGGUCUUCGGAUCGUAAAACUCUGUUAUUAGGGAAGAACAAAUGUGUAAGUAACUAUGCACGUCUUGACGGUACCUAAUCAGAAAGCCACGGCUAACUACGUG
rnacentral:rRNA from 1 species